rnacentral:rRNA from 1 species
AUUGAACGCUGGCGGCAUGCCUUACACAUGCAAGUCGAACGGUAACGGGCCUUCGGGUGCCGACGAGUGGCGAACGGGUGAGUAAUACAUCGGAACGUGCCCGAUCGUGGGGGAUAACGAGGCGAAAGCUUUGCUAAUACCGCAUACGAUCUACGGAUGAAAGCAGGGGACCGCAAGGCCUUGCGCGGACGGAGCGGCCGAUGGCAGAUUAGGUAGUUGGUGGGAUAAAAGCUUACCAAGCCGACGAUCUGUAGCUGGUCUGAGAGGAUGAUCAGCCACACUGGGACUGAGACACGGCCCAGACUCCUACGGGAGGCAGCAGUGGGGAAUUUUGGACAAUGGGCGCAAGCCUGAUCCAGCCAUGCCGCGUGCAGGAUGAAGGCCUUCGGGUUGUAAACUGCUUUUGUACGGAACGAAAAGCCUUCUUUUAAUACAGGAGGGUCAUGACGGUACCGUAAGAGUAAGCACCGGCUAACUACGUG